UACCAGCACCCCGAGCGGUCGGGACGAUUAUUGGGCCUAAAGCAUCCGUAGCCGGUCCUGCAAGUCUUCCGUUAAAUCCAGCUGCUCAACAGAUGGGCUGCGGGGGAUACUACAUGGCUAGGAGGCGGGAGAGGCAAGCGGUACUUUAUGGGUAGGGGUAAAAUCCGUUGAUCCAUAGAAGACCACCAGUGGCGAAGGCGGCUUGCCAGAACGUGCUCGACGGUGAGGGAUGAAAGCUGGGGGAGCAAACCGG
rnacentral:rRNA from 1 species